rnacentral:rRNA from 1 species
ACGGGUGAGUAACACGUGGGCAAUCUGCCUGUCAGACCGGAAUAACGCCUGGAAACGGGUGCUAAUGCCGGAUAGAGCAAUGGGCAGGCAUCUGCCUGUUGGGAAAGGCGCAGUUGCGCUGCUGACAGAGGAGCCCGCGGCGCAUUAGCUAGUUGGCGGGGUAACGGCCCACCAAGGCGACGAUGCGUAGCCGACCUGAGAGGGUGACCGGCCACACUGGGACUGAGACACGGCCCAGACUCCUACGGGAGGCAGCAGUAGGGAAUCUUCCGCAAUGGGCGCAAGCCUGACGGAGCAACGCCGCGUGAGCGAAGAAGGCCUUCGGGUUGUAAAGCUCAGUCACCCGGGAAGAGCGACCUGCGGAGUGGAAAGCCGCAGGGGAGACGGUACCGGGAGAGGAAGCCCCGGCAAACUACGUGCCAGCAGCCGCGGUAAUACGUAGGGGGCGAGCGUUGUCCGGAAUCACUGGGCGUAAAGCGUGCGUAGGCGGUCAAGCAAGUCCGGGGUGAAAGACCGAGGCUCAACCUCGGGGUGGCCUUGGAAACUGUUUGACUUGAGUGCUGGAGAGGCAAGGGGAAUUC